rfam:Helianthus annuus linkage group 9, whole genome shotgun sequence.
CUGGGAUGAUGCAACUUAGCCAAAUCAGACAUUGAUAUGCUCCACGGGUGGGGUGUUUCUAGUAACUUGUGCCAACUGUUUCUAGGUGGGGUACAAGUUACAAUUCACAUCCUUUCCUUUGUUGAAGCGUAUCAUCUUUCUGAUGAUACAACAGAGAUAGGUUUCUAGCUGACCAGA